rnacentral:rRNA from 1 species
CCCUUAGAUGUCCGGGGCCGCACGCGCGCUACACUGAUGCAUUCAACGAGUAUUUCCUUGGCCGAGAGGCCUGGGCAAUCUUUUAAACCUGCAUCGUGAUAGGGAUAGAUUAUUGCAAUUAUUAAUCUUGAACGAGGAAUUCCUAGUAAACGCAAAUCAUCAAUUUGCAUUGAUUACGUCCCUGCCCUUUGUACACACCGCCCGUCGCACCUACCGAUUGAAUGGUCCGGUGAAAUCUCGGGAUUGUGGCCAGUUCACUUUAUUGGGAGUUGGCUGCGAGAACUUGCUUAAACCUUAUCAUUUAGAGGAAGGUGAAGUCGUAACA